rnacentral:rRNA from 1 species
UACGUAGGGCGCAAGCGUUAUCCGGAAUUAUUGGGCGUAAAGAGCUCGUAGGCGGUUUGUCGCGUCUGCUGUGAAAACCCGAGGCUCAACCUCGGGCCUGCAGUGGGUACGGGCAGACUAGAGUGCGGUAGGGGAGAUUGGAAUUCCUGGUGUAGCGGUGGAAUGCGCAGAUAUCAGGAGGAACACCGAUGGCGAAGGCAGAUCUCUGGGCCGUAACUGACGCUGAGGAGCGAAAGGGUGGGGAGCAAACAGG